CCUCUAUUAACCACUGCUUGCUCGGGUCGAAGACUGUCUCUUAUCUUAGUCGGAUUUCAAAGAUGUAAAGAAGAAGAUAGCUGGCUUCUGAGGAGUAUGAAUCGUACAGACAAACAAACAUAAGCUUGGCGGAGGUAACCAGCCGUUGGCAGGCUGCAGCUUUUAAAAUGAAGGAACAGGCUGAGUCCAGUCAAGUGGAAAAUCACUUUCUCCUUGUCACCCCCCUGCCCUGGAAAAACGGCCUUCGUUCUGGGGAAGGAACUAUGCAGCAAACCUGAUGGCUGUUUUCUCCGUGGCGUCUGGUUGAUCGGCUGCAGGGAGAUCGUCGGCCAGAAUCUCUUCAGGACUGCGAGGGUCAGACAUGGGGGGCUUCUGCUCUUUGCCUUUGAUCCCCAUCCCCGCCGUGAUGGCGUUCCACAAAGCGCUCUGGGACUUUGAGCCUGCAAAAAAACAAAACAACAAAAAGAAUGUGUCUGAAUACUGC